ACGAUGCACAGACUGGAUUGCAAGAAGGUUGGAAUCUCCGGGAGCCAACUUGGACACUGGCUGUGAUACGGAGUUUAUGGGAACAAUAUUCUACAGGCUCAUCCCCUCCAUAAAAAUCUGGAAAUAAUCUCGUCGAGGAACAGGAACAAAAGGCUGAUUUGAAGAAAAUUUUUAUCAAAAAAGUUAACAUGUCUAAGGCACUGUGCUGGGCGCCAUGUCGGAGAGACCAAAAUUAUCAGUUGCAAGUGAACGAACCUAACACAUUGGGGACAGAGGAUUCACAUUAGAGGUGUCAAAACUUCUAUUUCAUCUGGAUACUGCCUUAGUAGCAGUGAGCCUGAAGAAAAGAAAUGGAUUAUCAAAAGGACUGAGUGUUGCCACAGAAUAGCAAGUUUCAGUCAAGUGUAUUGACUACAACCUCCUGACAUCAACCAAUAUGAGGCUUCAGAGGACCCCACAUUCAGGCAAGUCUUCACCUGACCACUAAUCCUGUCUAUGUCAGCUUGUCAACAGAAUCAUAGACUAAAACAUCACAUG